rnacentral:lncRNA from 1 species
ACCAUGGCUUCUGGUCCCUAGCCACCAUAUGCUCUGAAAAGGUACAGCCUGCCACAAAAUCCGGGGGAUUCCUAACUGGAUAGAGACGGCUGGAUGAACAUAAGCAUUUUCCUUCUUUUCUAGCUUGUGUCUCAGAGGGCAUUUUAAAUUUUAUACACUUGGAGCCCUGCUGGUGUGUGUGUGUGUGUGUGUGUGUGUGUGUGUGUGUGUGUGUGUGCCCCUUAAUUCUGGAGCAAUCCGAAGUGAUUGACAUACUGUCUGAUUCUUCUAGCUCUGGCUUUUGGGAUGUGCAACAGUAAGUAAUAAAUAUUUAGCAAGAGUUUCAGAAUUAUGAAGAAAUAAAUAAUUGUCCCUCAGUCAGCAAAGCUGCUUGGUGUUGGCAGAUUCUGUAACGGGAAGAGAGGUAUGAGAGCAGCUAGCCACCAGUACAAACUGAGAGAGCACGGAUAAACUCCUUGAGGUGGUGUUGAUGGGAGACUUCAUGUUACCCUUCUUUCACUUCGGCUGGGCCUACAUGCUUCUUGCAUUGGGACCAUCUCAACUCUUCUAUAAUAUCAAAUGUGAAAGGUGUAUGCUUUUUUUCAAACCCGCUCUUGGCUCCUUCUCCAGCAUCAUGUCUACCUGCCAGCCAUGAUGAUAGUGGACUAAACCUCUGAACCUGUAAGCAAGCCCCAAUUAAACGUUUUCACACCAUUUCUCCUUAGCUGCAAGCCAACUCUGGCAUCUGCUAUUUAUCAAAGUGUCUUCAAUCUGAACCAGUGUCCGUGUUACAGGCAGCUGCUCCAGUGACUCGAACUUUGGCAUCAUCAGAUUGAGAUUCAAGUAUGGCUUCUACCACUUCUACCACAUGGGACACUGGACAGAUAACUUCGACUCCAAGCCUUGAUAUUUUUAUCUAUAGAAUGGAACACAAAGUACAAACAACUACAACACUGUUUAACUGGCCUGAAGUCAGAGAUCAGUAUGGGUCAAAGCUGGAAUGGGAACACUCGUCUAACUCCGGAGACCACGCCCUCUAUUGUCUCCCCUCUUUCCAAACCCAGACCUGGCCAGAUUUUGCAUAAUACCUGCUAACACUACCAACUCAGGCCAAAAUAAACAUGGCCCUUUCCCAAUGUGCUGCGAUGAU